GCCCGCUCAGAAACUCAAAGGAAUUGACGGGGGCCCGCACAAGCGGUGGAGCAUGUGGUUUAAUUCGAUGAUACGCGAGGAACCUUACCUGGGCUCAAAUGUAUGUUGACGUAUUCUGAAAGGGAUACUUCUUCGGACAAUAUACAAGGUGCUGCAUGGUUGUCGUCAGCUCGUGUCGUGAGAUGUUGGGUUAAGUCCCGCAACGAGCGCAACCCUUGCCUUUAGUUGCCAGCAGUUCGGCUGGGCACUCUAAAGGGACUGCCGGUGUUAAACCGGAGGAAGGUGGGGAUGACGUCAAGUCCUCAUGGCCUUUAUGACCAGGGCUACGCACGUACUACAAUGGCCGAUACAAAGGGCAGCGACACUGCGAGGUGAAGCCAAUCCCGUAAAAUCGGUCUCAGUCCGGAUUGGAGUCUGCAACUCGACUCCAUGAAGUUGGAAUCGCUAGUAAUCGUGGAUCAGCAUGCCACGGUGAAUACGUUCCCGGGCCUU
rnacentral:rRNA from 1 species